rnacentral:rRNA from 1 species
CCUACGGGGGGCAGCAGUGGGGAAUAUUGGACAAUGGGGGCAACCCUGAUCCAGCCAUGCCGCGUGUGUGAAGAAGGCCCUCGGGUUGUAAAGCACUUUCAGUGAGGAAGAACGCCUGGUGGUUAAUACCCAUCAGGAAAGACAUCACUCACAGAAGAAGCACCGGCUAACUCCGUGCCAGCAGCCGUGGUAAUACGGAGGGUGCGAGCGUUAAUCGGAAUUACUGGGCGUAAAGCGCGCGUAGGUGGCUUGAUAAGCCGGUUGUGAAAGCCCCGGGCUCAACCUGGGAACGGCAUCCGGAACUGUCAAGCUAGAGUGCAGGAGAGGAAGGUAGAAUUCCCGGUGUAGCGGUGAAAUGCGUAGAGAUCGGGAGGAAUACCAGUGGCGAAGGCGGCCUUCUGGACUGACACUGACACUGAGGUGCGAAAGCGUGGGUAGCAAACAGGAUUAGAUACCCCAGUAGUC